rnacentral:lncRNA from 10 species
GGAGUAAUCAAAAUAUGAAGGACUUUGCAUGCCAAUAAGAGGUUUGAACUUUGUUCUGAGGGCAGUGGGAAGUGACAUGAUCAGACUUUCAUUCUGAAAAGAUCUUCUUGCUUCAAUAUGGAGAAUGGAAUGAAUGGAAGCAACAAGACUGAAAAAAGGAGGCUGGGGACCAGUGAGAAGCUGGGAGAAUCUGCAUUGGGAGCUACUUACCAAGCAGCAUUCUGAAGAAGAAUUUUAUAAUGAUGGUUGUUAGUAACCCUUUCGUAAAGAUGGUCAAAAUCAUCAAAUCAUCAUGCAUUGAUCGGUAUGAAUUGUCACAAAUCACCUAUUUCAGAGGAACCAGAGAAGCUAGAAGUUUAUAAGAAUCAUUUGGCCUGGUGCGGUGGCUCAUGCCUGUAAUCCUAGCACUUUGGGAGGCUGAGAUGGGCACAUUGCCUGAGCUCAGGAUUUUGAGACCAGCCUGGGCAACAUGGUGAAACUCUGUCUCUACUAAAACACAAAAAAUUAACAAGGCAUGGUGGUGCGUGCCUGUAGUCCCAGUUACUGACUGAGGCUGAGGCAGGAGAAUCGCUUGAACCCAGGAGACAGGGGUUGCAGUGAGCCGAGAUGGCACCAUGCACUCCAGCCUGGGUGACAGAGUGAGACUCCACCUC